AGUGAACGCUGGCGGCAGGCCUAACACAUGCAAGUCGAACGGCAGCACAGUAAGAGCUUGCUCUUACGGGUGGCGAGUGGCGGACGGGUGAGGAAUACAUCGGAAUCUAUUUUUUCGUGGGGGAACACGUAGGGAAACUUACGCUAAUACCACAUCCGCCCUACGGGUGAAAGCAGGGGAUCUUCGGACCUUGCGCGAUUGAAUGAGCCGAUGUCGGAUUAGCUAGUUGGCGGGGUAAAGGCCCACCAAGGCGACGAUCCGUAGCUGGUCUGAGAGGAUGAUCAGCCACACUGGAACUGAGACACGGUCCAGACUCCUACGGGAGGCAGCAGUGGGGAAUAUUGGACAAUGGGCGCAAGCCUGAUCCAGCCAUACCGCGUGGGUGAAGAAGGCCUUCGGGUUGUAAAGCCCUUUUGUUGGGAAAGAAAAGCAGAAGGUUAAUACCCCGCUGUUCUGACGGUACCCAAAGAAGAAGCACCGGCUAACUUCGUG
rnacentral:rRNA from 1 species